GGGGUACUGGUCCUCGAGGUGUCGGCGACAUUUCUGGAGCUUUUGGUGACCAACGGAGCAGUGGGGGAGAAGAUUCAAGCCUUCGCCGGAAAAUCGCGAUUCGCCGGAGCCGAGCUUUCAAUCGCAAAAUCGAGGGGCCCUCGUGAGCAAGGAAAUUAAGGGGUAGCCGCUUGGCACGUAGAUCGAGACAAAUUAACUCCGGGACUUGCAGAGAUGAUUCAGAGAGUGGUGAUGUGUAGUGACGCGAGACAUCAAGAUGCAAGUGAAUGUACCAUGAUUAGUUUAAGAUUUAUGUAUAUUGUUCCAUCAUCAAACGCUUUAUGUAUUAACUUGUAUUAAAUGCCAUGUACGAUUAUUAAAUUAUGCAUGAGCAGGUUCGAUUCAGC